rnacentral:tRNA from 1 species
AUUCCCUUCGUAACCGCCAAAUUUGAGAGGGCUUUUUUAGCCCAUCCCUUAAAGAGUUCUUACGAGUAUUCUUUAAA